GUGUGGCCCACUGCAUAGACAUAUCCCCUCACUCCUCCCUCCUCCUUCCUCCCAAAACCCUACCUUGUCACCUCUCUCUCCCUCUGAAGCCCAAACAUGGUGGGAUUCGAGGUGGGUGCAGUGCCGUUCAACCCUGACGGCUGGGGGCCGCCGGAAUCGUCGUCCCCGGUCCUCGCAAACCACCCUAUCAAUGUCCCCUUCGCUCCGUUCUCUCGUUCCGAGAAGCUUGGUCGGAUCGCCGACUGGACUCGCAACUACAACCACCCCUCACGCGCUGGCAACCCCCGCAACCCCGCCGAUUCCGUCUUCGACUUCACCGGGGAUGAGUCUUUCGGUGGUGGCUACGCUGCCGACGAGGACUCCACCUUCCGUCUCGUGGAUGGAAAGCCCCCUCCGCGCCCCAAGUUCGGCCCCAGGUGGCGGUUCCAGCAGCAGCGUCAGCUCCCGCAGCGCCGCGACGAGGAGGUCGAGGCCCGCAAGCGCGAUGCCGAGAAGGACCGCGCUCGCCGCGAUCGCAUGUACAAUCUCAACCGUGCCGGCGGCAACGCCUCCCGCCGCGAGGCCGCCGUAUUCAAAUCGUCUGUCGAUAUCCAGCCCGAAUGGAACAUGCUCGACCAGAUCCCCUUCUCCACCUUCUCCAAGCUCUCUUUCUCCGUUCCCGAGCCUGAGGAUCUUCUCCUCUGUGGUGCCCUCGAGUUCUACGACAGAACUUACGAUCGCGUUACCCCUAAGAACGAGCGGCGGCUCGAGCGUUUCAAAAACCGGAAUUUCUUCAAGGUCACUACCACGGACGAUCCCGUCAUUCGGCGCCUCGCUAACGAGGAUAAAGCUACUGUCUUUGCCACCGAUUCCAUUCUUUCGACACUUAUGUGCGCACCCAGAUCGGUUUACUCCUGGGAUAUCGUGAUUCAGAGGGUUGGGAACAAGUUGUUCUUCGAUAAGCGAGAUGGGUCGCAGCUCGAUUUGCUUUCUGUGCACGAGACCUCACAGGAACCCCUGCCUGAAGCCAAAGAUGACAUUAAUUCUGCGUACUCGUUGAGUGUGGAGGCAGCUUAUAUUAAUCAGAAUUUUUCACAGCAGGCUCUGAUCAGGGAUGGGAAUAAGGUUACGUUUGAGGAGCCGAACCCAUUUGCCAAUGAAGGAGAGGAGGUUGCUUCAGUUGCAUACAGGUACAGGAGGUGGAAGCUUGAUGAUGACAUGUAUCUUGUUGCUCGUUGUGAGGUUCAGAGUGUCAUUGAGGUUAACAACCAAAGGUCCUUCCUUACACUGAAUGCCCUUAAUGAGUUUGAUCCAAAGUACUCCGGCGUUGAUUGGAGGCAGAAGUUAGAGACCCAAAGAGGUGCUGUACUGGCCACUGAGCUGAAGAACAAUGCAAAUAAGCUGGCCAAGUGGACUGCUCAAGCAUUGUUGGCGAGUGCAGAUUUAAUGAAGUUGGGAUAUGUUUCGAGGGUUCAUCCCCGGGAUCAUUUCAACCAUGUUAUAUUGUCUGUGGUCGGGUACAAACCAAGAGAGUUUGCUGCACAAAUCAAUCUUAACACUUCAAACAUGUGGGGAAUAGUCAAGUCUAUUGUGGACUUGUGCAUGAAGUUGAACGAAGGGAAGUAUGUUCUUGUGAAGGAUCCAUCUAAACCACAAGUUAGGAUAUAUGAGGUUCCUCCUGAUGCUUUUGACAAUGACUAUGUUGAGGAGCCGUUGCCAGAGGAGGAGCAGGUGCAGCCACCUACAGAGGAUGCAAAUGGCGGGGAGACUAAUGUGCCCACAAAUGAAGUAGAGCAGAAGGAGGUUGAAAAUGGAGUCUGAAGGGUAAUUAUUUCUGGUCCUACCAUACCUACUAAAUAUGAGAUCCACAGUCCAAUAUGUACUGUGGAGCAAGGCUUUUGUCAACCAAUGUUAAUCCUUAUGUCAAAUGAUAAUUAAGCAACAAUGGACGAGAAGUGCAGCUGGAAUCUCAAGACCUCUGUUGCUGAGAGCAGGCAGUUUUUUUCUCUGCAGUGAAAUUUUUAGUUCUCUUAUUUUGUGCUUGGGGCUUCCUCUUUUUACCCCACUGAAUGUUCAGUAUCUUGAGAAUCAAUUUAUGUUGCAAGGACAUGUAUCCUGUUUUGGAGUGAAUGAGCGCCAACUUUCUUUGUUUUUUGUUUUUUUAAAUGGUAAUUGCUUAAAUUAUUUGGGAACUA